rnacentral:rRNA from 1 species
CCUACGGGAGGCAGCAGUGGGGAAUAUUGCACAAUGGGGGAAACCCUGAUGCAGCGACGCCGCGUGAGUGAAGAAGUAAUUCGUUAUGUAAAGCUCUAUCAGCAGGGAAGAAAAUGACGGUACCUGAGUAAGAAGCACCGGCUAACUACGUGCCAGCAGCCGCGGUAAUACGUAGGGGGCAAGCGUUAUCCGGAUUUACUGGGUGUAAAGGGAGCGUAGACGGCAGUGCAAGUCUGGAGUGAAAGGCUGGGGCUCAAACCCCGGACUGCUCUUGAAACUGUACGGCUGGAGUGCAGGAGAGGUAAGUGGAAUUCCUAGUGUAGCGGUGAAAUGCGUAGAUAUUAGGAGGAACACCAGUGGCGAAGGCGGCUUACUGGACUGUAACUGACGUUGAGGCUCGAAAGCGUGGGGAGCAAACAGGAUUAGAUACCCGAGUAGUC